GCCGAAGUGGUGAAACUGGUAAACACGCUACGUUCAGGGCGUAGUGGGCGCAAGCUCUUCGGGGUUCAAAUCCCCGCUUCGGCA
rnacentral:tRNA from 1 species